CAGAACGAACGCUGGUGGCGUGUCUUAUACAUGCAAGUCGAGCGAGGCAGCAAUGCCGAGCGGCGAACGGGUGAGUAACGCGUAAGCAAUCUGCCCCAUAUCAGGAAAUACCCUUGCCAACGCGCGGUUAAUGUCCAGGAGAGUGGCCCUCUGCAUGGAGGGUUGACUAGAGAUUUAUCGGUAUGGGAUGAGCUUGCGUCCGAUUAGCUAGUGGCGGGGCAACGGCCCACCAAGGCGACGAUCGGUAGCCGGCCUGAGAGGGUGAUCGGCCACAUUGGGACUGAGAUACGGCCCAGACUCCUACGGGAGGCAGCAGUAGGGAAUAUUGCACAAUGGGGGAAACCCUGAUGCAGCAACGCCACGUGUGGGAAGAAGCAUUUCGGUGUGUAAACCACUGUCAUGAGGGAAUAAGGCCCUUAUCCGUAAGGGACUUGAAUGUACCUUGAGAGGAAGCACCGGCAAACUUCGUGCCAGCAGCCGC
rnacentral:rRNA from 1 species